AGCGAACGCUGGCGGCAGGCCUAACACAUGCAAGUCGAACGGACCUUUCGGGGUUAGUGGCGGACGGGUGAGUAACACGUGGGAACGUGCCUUUAGGUUCGGAAUAGCUCCUGGAAACGGGUGGUAAUGCCGAAUGUGCCCUUCGGGGGAAAGAUUUAUCGCCUUUAGAGGGGCCCGCGUCUGAUUAGGUUGUUGGUGAGGUAAUGGCUCACCAAGGCGACGAUCAGGAGCUGGUCGGAGAGGAUGACCAGCCACAUUGGGACUGAGACACGGCCCAAACUCCUCCGGGAGGCAGCAGUGGGGAAUCUUGCGCAAUGGGCGAAAGCCUGACGCAGCCAUGCCGCGUGGAUGAUGAAGGCCUUAGGAUUGUAAAAUCCUUUCACCGGUGAAGAUAAUGACUGUAGCCGGAGAAGAAGCCCCGGCUAACUUCGUGCCAGCAGCCGCCGCGGUAA
rnacentral:rRNA from 1 species